rnacentral:tRNA from 1 species
UGUGGCAGACAAGUGCUAUGGAUUUAAGCCCCAUUCAUGGAGGACAAUCCUUCCAUUAAAA